rnacentral:rRNA from 1 species
AUUGAACGCUGGCGGCAUGCCUUACACAUGCAAGUCGAACGGUAACGGGCCUUCGGGUGCCGACGAGUGGCGCACGGGUGCGUAAUACAUCGGAACGUGCCCGAUCGUGGGGGAUAACGAGGCGAAAGCUUUGCUAAUACCGCAUACGAUCUACGGAUGCAAGCCGGGGACCGCAAGGCCUUGCGCGGACGGAGCGGCCGAUGGCAGAUUAGGUAGUUGGUGGGAUAAAAGCUUACCAAGCCGACGAUCUGUAGCUGGUCUGAGAGGAUGAUCAGCCACACUGGGACUGAGACACGGCCCAGACUCCUACGGGAGGCAGCAGUGGGGAAUUUUGGACAAUGGGCGCAAGCCUGAUCCAGCCAUGCCGCGUGCAGGAUGAAGGCCUUCGGGUUGUAAACUGCUUUUGUACGGAACGAAAAGCCUUCUUUUAAUACAGGAGGGUCAUGACGGUACCGUAAGAAUAAGCACCGGCUAACUACGUG